CGUAGCUUGCUACACCAUAGACUGUGAGUUGCGAACGGGUGAGUAACGCGUAGGUAACCUGCCUAUUAGAGGGGGAUAACUAUUGGAAACGAUAGCUAAUACCGCAUAACAGUAUGUAACACAUGUUAGAUGCUUGAAAGAUGCAAUUGCAUCGCUAGUAGAUGGACCUGCGUUGUAUUAGCUAGUAGGUAGGGUAAUGGCCUACCUAGGCGACGAUACAUAGCCGACCUGAGAGGGUGAUCGGCCACACUGGGACUGAGACACGGCCCAGACUCCUACGGGAGGCAGCAGUAGGGAAUCUUCGGCAAUGGGGGGAAACCCCUGACCGAGCAAACGCCGCGUGAGUGAAGAAAGGUUUUCGGAUUCGUAAAGCUUCU
rnacentral:rRNA from 1 species